UACGGAGGGUGCGAGCGUUAUUCGGAAUUACUGGGCGUAAAGCGUACGCAGGCGGUUGCCCAAGUCAGAUGUGAAAGCCCCGGGCUUAACCUGGGAACUGCAUUUGAAACUGGGCGACUAGAGUAUGAAAGAGGAAAGCGGAAUUUCCAGUGUAGCAGUGAAAUGCGUAGAUAUUGGAAGGAACACCGAUGGCGAAGGCAGCUUUCUGGGUCGAUACUGACGCUCAUGUGCGAGAGCGUGGGGAGCAAACAGG
rnacentral:rRNA from 1 species